rnacentral:rRNA from 1 species
UACGUAGGGGGCAAGCGUUGUCCGGAAUCAUUGGGCGUAAAGCGCGUGUAGGCGGCUCGAUAAGUCUGCUGUGAAAGUUCAGGGCUCAACCCUGAAAUGCCGGUGGAAACUGUCGAGCUAGAGUACGGAAGAGGCGAGUGGAGUUCCUGGUGUAGCGGUGAAAUGCGCAGAUAUCAGGAGGAACACCAAUGGCGAAGGCAGCUCGCUGGGACGUUACUGACGCUGAGACGCGAAAGCGUGGGGAGCAAACAGG